rnacentral:rRNA from 1 species
UACGUAGGGUGCAAGCGUUGUCCGGAAUUAUUGGGCGUAAAGAGCUCGUAGGCGGUCUGUCGCGUCGGCUGUGAAAUCCCGGGGCUUAACCCCGGGCGUGCAGUGGAUACGGGCAGGCUGGAGGCAGGCAGGGGAGAACGGAAUUCCCGGUGUAGCGGUGAAAUGCGCAGAUAUCGGGAGGAACACCGGUGGCGAAGGCGGUUCUCUGGGCCUGUACUGACGCUGAGGAGCGAAAGCGUGGGGAGCGAACAGG